GUAGUUAUAUGACCUCUGCCAUGAGGCACAAGGCUGGGGAGAGCCAUCCUACAUUCAGUUCAAUAAUUAAGACAUUGUACUAGAAGCAACGCACUUCUUUGAACUCUUAAAUGGUGUCAGAAGUGGAGCUGAGAUUGAGUUUUGAAAAGCUGGAGUUAAGCCACAGCUACUGAAAGAGGAAACAGAAAGUUCAGGGCUGUAAAAAGCUGUUGAAAGAAACCACUGACAGUGAAAAGCAAACACAAGCCGAAGGCUGGAAGAAAAUCACUGGGUGGCUGAUCAGGAAGAUGGGGUUGCAUCAGCUGCACGGAGUACAGAAUGACUGCCACUCCCAGAGGCCCACCAGUCCCCAACAAUGGAAAUGGAACAAUAGCAACAAUUACCACAGCAUCGAGUUUCCCAGGAACGACACUCCCUAAAGAGAGAACAUCACCCAGAUGAACAGCCAAUGACAGCGCACAUAUGUACCAUUAAGACGCCUGUAUGAUCGAAUGACUAUGUAUGCAAUGCAUGUGCAGAGACUGACUAUAAUAACAAAGUUUAUUAAUGCAUGAAAACAAUUGUAGUGUAGUGGGUAACUUGGGUAACUCAAAAUUACACAUGAUAGUGUAUGCAAAUUUGUCUUUUGUACGUUAGGAAAAUGGGAUGUUUGUAUCUUUUGUUUGUUAUGAAAAGGGGGAUGUUUUGGUUUUGAAAUGCAAUCAUGUAAGAAAGGUCCUAUCUGGCUUGCUGUAGUCAUUUGACCUCUGCCAUGAGGCACAAAGUUGGGGAGAGCCAUCUUACAUUGAGCUCAAUAAAGACAAUAGGUACUGUACUUCUUUGAGCUCAUAUGAGCUGUCACAAUGCUUUCAACCCGCAGCAUUUCACCCUCCCUGAUACUAGUUGUACAAAUUAAGGUUACAUGUACACAGGUGGAGUGUGCUACUCAUUGGAUAAUUACCUAAACAUGUAUAAAGAGACACUUAGGGCCACUGGUGGUGGGUUGUGGAGUUAGGAGCUAUACAUUUGUAAUGGUUUACUUUGUGAAUAAUGAUUGACUUCUGGUCUCCUCCUUCACCAACUGGCUGUCAGAGGUUUAACAUGGUAGCAGAGAAUGCUUGCCUGAAGUUGAAGGUUGGAAACUAAUAAAAAAAUACUUUCACAUAGAAGAGUAGCUGAGUAAAAUUUGUGAAGAAUGGCUGAAAGCAUGUGUAAAUUGCCAGUGUGUGAUUGCCUGUAGAUAUUCUCAGGGUAUGAACCUUAUGACCAGUAGAAGAAUUAAGUGGACAUGUGGAUACAGGUACACACACCAUUUAUAAUAUAAUAUUUCAUGGGAUGUGAACAUGGCUGACAUUGUUGCCCAUCCCUCAUUGCCCUUGAACUGAGUGGUGUGCUAGGCCAUUCCAGCGGGAAGUUAAAAGCCAACCACAUUGCUGUGGUCUGGAGUCACAUCUACGCCAGAGCAGGUAAGUAUGGCAGAUUUAGUUCCCUAAAGGACAUUAGUGAACCAAUUGGGUUUUCACAACAAUCAAUGAUAGGUUCAUGGUCACCAUUACUGAGACCAGCUUUCAAUUCUAGGUUUUACUGAUUGAAUUUAAAUUGUACAUAGUAUUGAAGGUGGGUAUUUGAAAUGGUUCCAUAUUCAGAUUAAUAUUAAGACAUGCAUUAAUAGUUUUAGAAUCAACAAAUUUAGUUAUGAGAGCUCAUUCUAAGCAUGAUGGGAAAUAUAGCCAACAUGAUAGGUAUGUAGCCAAUAACGUGGGAACCCAACUAAAAAUCACGGAAUGGGUAAAGAAAUGUUAGGGCGAUAAGAGCACAGGCCGGGAGGCGUUAGAUCCGAAGCAUUCACAGCCUCCCAAUAAUGUAACAAAGACAUUUGCAGCCUGGAUAAUUCUUCUCAUUAGGCAAGUAAUUGGAGGUUGUAUAGUGAAAUCUGAUGACUAAUAGAUAUAAAAAUGUUAUGCAGCCUUUGUAUCUGGGAAACACACUGUAGAAUCAGACUGUUCCCUCCCAGCAUGUGCUUGUAAUAAAGUUCUUGAUUGAUUGACUCUCA